AAAAAGAAGCAAAGGAAACAUAAAAAAAGGAAAGCAGCAAAAAAAAAGUGAUUGAUGAAUUUGAUUGUUGUGGUGUAAUUUUUAACUUUUUUAUG
rnacentral:ribozyme from 1 species